CCAUAUUUGAAUGCAGGACAGCAGCUUGAGCUGUCAAACGUCAACGCUCCCACGAGCAUGCGUGGCGUGCACACCUUCUUCAUGAGGAUGCUGCUCAGUCGUCAGGGAAGCAGGUGAUGCGCUGGACCAAUUGCUGGCCUGAUGAUGCUGGCAAGUAACAGUAUGGCCACUUACAAAAAUGCAACUUCUUUGUCAAAUGGAAUUUGACCUUGUGUAUUGAUCAAAAUGCAAUAACAUAGCUACAACAGUUGAACAGUAAGUUACAGGCUGUUUAAUGACAUCUGUUCUGUAGUUUACCAUAAUUGCAGAUGUGCCGCCAUUCAAUCACCCCGUUGCCCUGUCAGGAAACCAAACAUAGGCUCUCAUGGAAGAGCAUAUUCAUAGAAUAUGAUUAGCCUACUGUGCGCAUUGUGUAUAAUUGCAUAGGCUUUUUUUGCUGUGUUGCAUUUUCCCCAUGCUGUAUUAAGUUUAGUUUGCUACCAUUACUAUUAUCUGUACUAUUGAUUGGAUACAUCUGACAAUGCUCUUGGACACAGUGAUGUAACUUGGGGUCAUUCUGUGUUUCGGGUCUUUCAACAUCAGGCCCCCUCACCAAGGCGACCUAGGGAGAAGCUCAAUUGGUUUUGCUCGACUCAUAUCGCCUCUCUCCUGCUUUGAAAAAGAGAAAAAAGCUGUGGCGGAUUUUUUUUAAACUUCCGUGCUAGAUGUCAUAAGGAUACUCUUGAUCAUCAGGAAAUGGAGGUGGUGAACAGGCUCCUCUGUUCAUCUACUAACGAAUUGAUACUCACCUGGAGCACUCGACCACUUCUCGUUUCCGGGUCAUGGAGGAGAAGAUGACGGAGGAGUUGAGGACUGACUUUUCCCAAUUGAGAAUCUCCCCUUGCCUUACAGAGAUGAAGGGUUGACGCCUUCAGUCCUCUCCUCUGUUGCAGUCUGGGGAAAUGGGUCCUCUGCUGCAGUCUUCUGGUACCAACUACUGUUUUCAACGACAACAUUACUCAAAACACUGUUAGACAUCUCCAUUUGCACAAUUCUCCUGAAAGAAUUAAGCUGAUUCUGUGGGAAUAUCAUGUAAUUUUUUGGGCCAGGAUGUGCAGGAUCUUUUAAAUUCCUGCAGGAUAAGGCCAAUUAAGCAGGUGUCCUAUCAAAGAAUUUAUUCAAUUAUACAGGAUUCCUGCAGGAAUUGUUGCCUUUGUUUAGUAACUGUGUAGGUCUUUAGGACUUUUUUGCAAGGGUAGAUAAUCUUACCUUAUCUGUAGAGGCAGUAGCGUCACUUGCUGUCUAAUGAUGAUGGGUGGAUCGUGGUCUGAGGGGAGGAGAAAAGGUACAUGGCUUUGGGAGGAGUCUGUGUAUGCAUUUCUUAAAAUUUUCCAGUUUUCCAUGCCCUGCUAUCCCAAUUCCCAGUAGUGAUGGAUUAUCAGCAUUUGGCAUUUUCUGUUUGCAAAACCAUAUUCAAAGUGAAAACAAUUAGGUAUAAAUACAUACACACACACAC